UACAGAGGGUGCAAGCGUUAAUCGGAAUUACUGGGCGUAAAGCGAGCGUAGUCGGUUAUUUAAGUCGGGUGUGAAAGCCCCGGGCUCAACCUGGGAAUUGCAUUCGAUACUGGAUAGCUAGAGUUCGGCAGAGGGAAGCGGAAUUUCCGGUGUAGCGGUGAAAUGCGUAGAUAUCGGAAGGAACAUCAGCGGCGAAAGCGGCUUCCUGGACCAGAACUGACGAUCAGGCUCGAAAGCGUGGGGAGCAAACAGG
rnacentral:rRNA from 1 species